AUUGAACGCUGGCGGCAUGCCUUACACAUGCAAGUCGAACGGCAGCGCGGGCUUCGGCCUGGCGGCGAGUGGCGAACGGGUGAGUAAUGCAUCGGAACGUGCCCAGUAGUGGGGGAUAGCCCAGCGAAAGCCGGAUUAAUACCGCAUACGACCUGAGGGUGAAAGCGGGGGACCGAAAGGCCUCGCGCUAUUGGAGCGGCCGAUGUCGGAUUAGCUAGUUGGUGGGGUAAAGGCUUACCAAGGCGACGAUCCGUAGCUGGUCUGAGAGGACGACCAGCCACACUGGGACUGAGACACGGCCCAGACUCCUACGGGAGGCAGCAGUGGGGAAUUUUGGACAAUGGGGGCAACCCUGAUCCAGCCAUGCCGCGUGCGGGAAGAAGGCCUUCGGGUUGUAAACCGCUUUUGUUCGGGAAGAAAUCCUUUGGGCUAAUACCCCGGGGGGAUGACGGUACCGGAAGAAUAAGCACCGGCUAACUACGUG
rnacentral:rRNA from 1 species